rnacentral:rRNA from 1 species
UGACGGAGCACGCCGCGUGAGGGAUGAAGGCCUCUGGGCUGUAAACCUCUUUUAUCAAGGAAGAAGAUCUGACGGUACUUGAUGAAUAAGCCACGGCUAAUUCCGUGCCAGCAGCCGCGGUAAUACGGGAGUGGCAAGCGUUAUCCGGAAUUAUUGGGCGUAAAGCGUCCGCAGGCGGCCCUUCAAGUCUGCUGUUAAAAAGUGGAGCUUAACUCCAUCAUGGCAGUGGAAACUGUUGGGCUUGAGUGUGGUAGGGGCAUAGGGAAUUCCCGGUGUAGCGGUGAAAUGCGUAGAUAUCGGGAAGAACACCAGUGGCAAAGGCGCUCUGCUGGGCCAUCACUGACGCUCAUGGACGAAAGCCAGGGGAGCGAAAGGGAUUAGAUACCCCUGUAGUCCUGGCCGUAAACGAUGAACACUACGUGUCGGGGGAAUCGACCCCCUCGGUGUCGUAGCCAACGCGUUAAGUGUUCCGCCUGGGGAGUACGCACGCAAGUGUGAAACUCAAAGGAAUUGACGG